UUUGUUUUUUUUUUUUUUGUUUUUGAUUUUUUUUUCCUGAACACUAUCUUGCCACACUUUUCUGUUCAUUUCCAUAUGGGAGUUUCUGUCAUUUGAAAUGCUCCAAAUAUAUUAAUGAACUCCAGCUGUAUUCUAGUGCAGGGUAGAGUAUAAGAAAAGAAUAAAAUUAUUUAAGGUUUCUCAUGAAUUUAGAUAGUGGAUGCCUGAUUGUUGUAAUCUUAUUAUAAUUAUGCUUUUAGGGAGGGUUUUCACACGUAGUUUAUUAAAUUUUAAAAAAUUCCAAUAGUGAAAAACAAAGCAAAAUCUCAUCCCUUGGUAUAGUAUAAAAAUCUACAUGAUUCAUAGGCAGGAUUGGAAACUUUAGUUAUAUCCAAUGAAAUUUAAAAAAUAAGAACUUCUGAGUAGUAACCUAAAAGAUUUAAUAAGUAUAAACAUGUUAUAAGAAUUUUCUUCUGGUUUUGCUGCCUUUUUGUUAUGCAAUUGCUGUUGUAUAACUCUCUUGUUGGAUUCCUUUUCCCCUUGUUAAACUUCCUUCUCCCUUGCUUUCUUCAUUAAACUUUCCUUCCUUGUGUGUAGUUUUUUCUCACCUAGACCAUGUGUGUAUCAGGAUGAUACUGAUGAUACACAGUUUUUACUGGGUGUAAUGUGGACACAGCACCCAUGUAGGUGCAGAGGAACACUACAGCUCAGUGUUAGCAGGUCAGAGAAAGCACAGGCUUUUUUGCUCAUCCUUAAAUUGUGGUGCAUGCCACAAACACCAUGUAAGGCUGAAUCUCUGUCCUUCUCUUUUAUUAACUUGCACUCUUAAUCCAGAGCCCAGGGAAUCUGGAAGACAUCCUCAGUUUCUGCAUGUUCCUAACACAGCUUGUCCCUCACAGUAUUGCAGGAAGAAUUUCUGCCAUUUCCACUGGCUAGGGUAACAGUAGGAUUUUUAACUUGUUCCCUAUCACAGGAGCACAUUUAGUGAUUUGUGGGUUCGUCUUUUUAAAUUUCUCACUAUCACCUCCAUACCAUGAACUACUCUUUUGCUAAAGGGCCACUGAUGCACUCCCUCAGUUCUACAAAAUGUAAAUGAAAGAGGCAGAAACAGAAGAGCAGGCAGAUCUUCAAGAAGCCUUUAGACAACUUUCCCAGGCACAUGGUGUGACUCUUGGGGCUGUCCUGUGCAGGGCCGGGAGUUGAAUUUCAGUGGUCCUUGUGGACCGCUUCCAGCCUGGCAUAUGGUAAGAUUCUAUGAUUUCACAGAGUUCUGCCGCUAAAAUAAGGGAUAACAGCAAGAGCAGAGGCGUGUCUCUCAAAGCAUGGUUGGCACAAAUGUGAAUUGCAGAGUUUCCACUGGUAAAAUCUCUUCAGGUGGUUAGAAGAAAUAACAUGCCAGUAAAGCAGCUGCUGAUAGGUGUGCAGACUGUCUGUGUGGGCUGACAGAACCAAACAGAGGCUCAUUCCCCACUCACACAACACUAGUAGUAUGAAUGGGUUCUCUAGUUGAACAAAAAUAUCUGCCUUUCUUAACUGCUGUUUAUUUUUCCUAAUUUGUUACGACUCUGCUAAUGAAAGGAUCUUGUUCCAGUCAUUGCUAGUGCUACUCCCAGGCUUCUAGCCCAGAGUGGCUCUUUCCUUCCUCCUCAACCUUUCAGUUUCCUCCUUUGAUCUUCAGUUUCAGUGUGUCCUCUUGAAUCCUCUUGUUUCCCUUCAAUAACUCCAGGUUUUCCUUCACACACUUCUCAGACCUAAUCCCUCCCAACCAAUUUUGUUCUUCCAGUUAAUUUUAUUCCCUCCUGCUAGUUAUUUGGCCUCAGUUUCCUCAUCAGCCUUGGACCUACAAUGAUAUUAUACCUUUCUCCUAAAUCCUGCACCUUGUGAUGCACACACAGUACCCAGCCCACUUGCUUCCUUUACCUCUCUCAAUCUAUAUUCUCAGUCUUCCAUUUCCAGGGCCACUACUCUUAUUAAUUUAAUUCUCUAGGUUGUCCUAUUUCCAACCUGGUUUUGAUUCAAAUAAAUAUCUCUUCCUACCAGCUUGACUGUGAGUAGAGAGAGGAAAAACAUAUUUCAAUUGUUGCAGGGCCUGGAUCAUACCACGCUAAGAAAAGACUGACAUGCCUUUAAAGGACUACCUGGUUUACACCUCAAGGGAUGUGGAAAUUCAGGGUGCUCUUGUGCUGUGUUAUGGGCACAAUGAAAAAUCCCUCAGGCUGGCUUUAGAAUGGAAAGCAGUACGAUAACAUCAAAAAGGUGAUGGUUGAGGGUUGCUACCUUCAGUCUCAGCAUGAUCCCUAUAUAAUUACUCUUUCCAGCACUUUUUUCUGCCCAUCUAACUCUGAACUUGCUUAGGUUUCCCCAACACAUUACUGAAUCAUCCUGAUCAUAUUUGCCCUCCAUUCUGUGGAAGCUUCAUGGCUCUUCAAAGAAUCACAUAACUUUCAAAUCACUUGUUUUAAGUUACAUGUAACUUUCAAGAAUAUGUUUUGAUUGUUUCUUGGCAUGCAUUUGCAGACUGGUGUCACAAAGAAUGAAAGGGUACCCAAAGCCAGUAGGAAUUAUUAGACAUCUCAUGAAGGUCUGUUCUGCUCACUGUGUUUCCAAAUAAUCAGUGAUUUUCAGAUAAGCUUCCAAGAACUGAGACUCUCCUGUGGAGCAUAUCCAAACCUCCAAGGACUGCAAAAAUCCAGCAGACAGUGAAAUUCCUGGCAGUUAUGAGAAUCCUAGCUUCAAGUAAUACAAUGCAAUUUUUUUUCUAAUCCCAGAUGAAGUCUGAGAGUGAAAAUGAAAUGAGAAGCUCUCUGUUAGAGGUUGAGUCUGGCUGUAAGUCUUAAACACCUUUGGAGAAGGUAUUUUUUAUUUAAAAAAUGUGUUUUGCCAGUCUACUGGGAGACAUCUAUGUAUCACAAAUUCUGUUGAGUCUAUGAGCUCUCUAUAUUUCUACUUUUGUGCUAUCUUUUAGAGUAUUUGUUAGAAGAAAUCACAUCAAGCAUGCAGGUUAAAGGGAAAAUGAAUACAGAUCCUCUGAAGCCCAGGUCAGACCUCUCUCCAUUAAGACAAACUCUCCACAUGCUGCCAGUUAAAAGUGGGUAUUUUUUUGCUUGAUGUCAUGUCAAAAUACAGGUUCAAUCAAUGAAGCAGAACCAAAGCUUUAAGGUUUUAGCUUUGAAAUUUCUCAGCACUGAUACAUGAAAUAGAUACUAUGAAAUUAUUUUGUUUACAGUUCUAUACCAUGAGAUAAAAAUAGAUUAGUGAAUUUUCACAGAGAAAAUGAAGUCUCUUUCCUCUUUGUUUUGACUGAGUGUUGAAUGCAGCAGAAGCACCUUUUUAUUUAGUGUAGUAUCAUGAUUGGCUACACUCCCAUUCUGCAAUUAAAAAAACCCAAACCCAUCAACACCCAAAGCCCCUUGCAGAAACAAGGCUUUCUGCCAGACAGACCUUUUUUGUGUGGAUAACAGAGCAAAUUAGACAUAAGCUUGCAAUGGCAGCACAAAAUAGCUGGGUAAUUUUAGAAAAGUUUACCUUCAAUCUUUAAAGGAGCAACAUUGUGAUGCUGAAAAUUGUCACACAUAAAUUGCUAUUUCAUCUCUAGAGCAAACACAGACACAGAUGAAAAUGUAUUUUAAAUAGGGUGAAUUUAAGGUGCUAUAAAGGAUGUUUUAUCAUGGUUUUCAUUGUAGAAAAUGCAGAGGAGAGAGCAUGAGAUGUCCCUGGCAGUGCAGAAGCCCCGUAUGGUUUAUGCCCUGUUAUGCGGGGUGACCUGUAUGUAAGACUUGGAGUCGAGAAUUGCAACGUGGCUUUUGUUCUGAUAUUCUUGAGGCUCUAGGCAGGGAAGAAAUUUCAUUUCUUGCCUUAAGUAUUGUUAUUUUUAAAAUGUGCAUGAAAAUAUUUUCCUGUGUUAGAGGGCAGAUUUGAGGGUUAAGACUAAAAACUGAGAAGCUGAGACUGCUGAUACGGAAACAGGAAAAACCACUAUCCUGCCUCGAGCAUCCAAUUCCUCUCCUUGUGUGAUGGAAAAUUACUUUUGAUUGAUUCAAAGUUCAUAUCUCAACACAGGUUGUCCUUUGAACCAUGCAAUCCUAGCAAACACUGAGAUUUGAAGACACUGUUCAUAGAAAUAAAGAAUCAUAGAAUCUUUUGAGCCAGAAGGGACACUAAAGACCUCUUGUUACAAUCCCCCUGACUUGGGCAGGGGCAUCUUCCACUAGACCAACUUUUUCAGGGCUCCAUCCAGCAUGGCCUUGCACUUUCCAGGGAUGGGGCAGCUGCAGCUGCAUCAUUCCCCCUUGUUCUAUCACUACAUACCCCUGACAAAAGUCCCUUCCCAGCUCUCUUAUAAUCCCUUUUAGGUACUGGAAGGGAUUCUAAAGUCUUCCCGGAGCUUUCUCUUCUCAGGCUCAACAAACUCAACUCUCUCAGCCUGUCUCCACAUGAGAGGUGCUUCAGAUCUCUGACCAUCAUUGUGGCCCUCCUCUAGGAUUCCACAGGCCCAUAUCCUUCUUGUGCUGAGGGCUCCAGAGUUGGAUGCAGUACUGCAGGUGGGGUCCCCCAAGAACAGCAGGGAGGAGCAGAAUCACCUCCCUUGAUCCUGCUGGUCACUCUGGUUUUGCUGGUUGGCUUUCUGGGUUGCAAGUGCACAUUGCUGAGCCAUGUCCAUAGCUAGACUCAUAGUGACCAGGAGGAGCACUCUCAAACCUCUCAGAUCCCACCAGGAUCUUUUCCAGGAAACUCAACCACAUGCUCCAUUUAUGGUAUGUAUUUGAAGCACACAGCACUGAUGAACACCAGCUCUGCUGAUCUUACAGCCUCUGCUGAGUUCAACACAAACCCACUGUGGCUUCUUGUAAAAUGUUUGCUGUGUUUCAUCUGUUGUAGUUACAAAAUAAAUCAAAUAUCUGCUCUUGGAUGCUUUCCCUCUCUAUCCCAAGCUGCUCUUUCAACUCACUGUCCCUCAAGGAUCCUAUUUCAGUGUUAAUAUUUUAUGCAUUUAACCAUUAUAAAUAAAGAAUAUAAACAUGGAACAUAAAUGCAUUCCUGAAAGAAAAAAUAGCACUACAAACUUCCUAUGUUGCUCUGAAUUUGACAAAUUAUUUCUCAAGAGAAUAAAAGGUGUACCUAAGGAAAUGUCUACCAGUCAAAAGUUUAAAUGAAAAACAGAGAAAGAAAACAUGCAAUGUUUUAAAGUUCUAACUAACUUUGAACAAAAGAUACCUUGGGGAAGAGAAAGUAAGACUGGUAUGUGUCCAUUAAAAGAUUCACAUGUAACCUUUGAUUUCUUUUGUUCAGAAGACUUUGAGAUGAUAGGAAGACGAUGUUAAAAUGGGAUUACAUCAUCACACAUGCAGGG
ensembl:lncRNA